CAACCCUGUCAUUUUUCUUUGCAGUGAGAACAUAUCUGAUCAAGUAAACAUUACUACUCAAGGCUUUCAUAAAACAUUGAACAUAUAAUUUGAGUUUCUCCAAGCAGCCAAACCUUCUUUAACUUUGAAAAUUUUGCAUAUUUACUAAUGAUGAAUUCUGCGGAGAUCUGUGCUGGACAGCCUGGGAAAGGAUUGAGCUGAUCUAUUUCUCCAUUACAUUCUUUCCAAGAUGCUUAAAAAUAUGCCAGAUGAUCCCUACAUCUUUUGGAAGAGGUCCAAGUAUCAAGCAGUUGGAGACACAGGGAAAGGGUAGUAUAAUGCCCAGAAAGUGACUUGAACAAAUUUACACAGAAGGCAGUGAAGUGUGAUUCAAAUUCAAGCAGUCUAGACCCUGCUCCACACAACUCUGCAGCAUAACCUUGCAGUAUGAAAAUGAUGCCUCUCAUGCAGGCAUAGAACCCAACUGGUACGCCUCCAGGAAAAAAAGCAUAAAAGCCUUUUGUCGUGUAGCCCACUGGAGAAUCUGGAGUUUCAACAACCUCAAUUGCUCAUUUACCCCUAUUUUUGUCAAAGGCAUAUUUUCAUAAACAUUCCCAUACUAAAUCUUGGAGGAAC
rnacentral:lncRNA from 1 species